GAUGAACGCUAGCGGCAGGCCUAAUACAUGCAAGUCGAACGGUGUCUUCGGACAUAGUGGCGCACGGGUGCGUAACACGUAUGCAACCUACCUUACAUUGGGGGAUAGCCUUUCGAAAGGGAGAUUAAUACCGCAUAAGACAGUAGCUGGGCAUCCAGCAGCUGUUAAAGAUUUAUCGAUGUAAGCUGGGCAUGCGUCCGAUUAGCUAGUUGGUGAGGUAACGGCUCACCAAGGCAAUGAUUGGUAGGGGAACUGAGAGGUCAAUCCCCCACACUGGCCCGGAGAUACGGGCCAGACGCCUACGGGAGGCAGCAGUAGGGAAUAUUUGGCAAUGGACGCAAGUCUGACCCAGCCAUGCCGCGUGCAGGAUGAAGGCGUUCUGCGUUGUAAACUGCUUUUAUACAGGAAGAAACGACUCUUCCGAGAGGCAUUGACGGUACUGUAUGAAUAAGCACCGGCUAACUCCGUGCCAGCCGCCGCGGUAAGAC
rnacentral:rRNA from 1 species